ACGCUCGACACCUACGGGAGGCAGCAGUGAGGGAUAUUGGUCAAUGGGGGAAACCCUGAACCAGCAACGCCGCGUGAGGGAUGACGGUCUUCGGAUUGUAAACCUCUGUCCUCUGUGAAGAUAAUGACGGUAGCAGAGGAGGAAGCUCCGGCUAACUACGUGCCAGUAGCCGCGGUAAUCUGAGCGGGCUGGCAAGGC
rnacentral:rRNA from 1 species